GUUUGUAAAAGACCGACCCUUCCAGGACUUUUCCGGCUUCCAACCUUGUGUGGCAUCUUUUUGAACUCCCUCGACCAUCCAAGCUUCCAUAAUAUCGUCUAGGCUUCUCCAACAAUGAGCUUCUCCAUUCAUCUAUCAGACUGCUCCAAAUGCUCUCUGGGCUUCACUAUCAGCUGAUUUUCUAUAGUGAUCGACUAUUCUCUGAACCCCUUCUAGACUUCUUCCGACCACGGACGACUCUACUCCAAAAUUCCACCAGC
rnacentral:lncRNA from 1 species